rnacentral:rRNA from 1 species
GCGUCCCCAGGACGGGGGAGACCACCCACCGAGU